AAACAGUAUAAAAAGGGCUCACAGCACAGAUAGUGUCAGUUGGCUGCUCUUCUCCUCUUUGGCAUCUUGAGUUCACUUCUCUGCCCAAAGGAUGUCCUUCUCCAGGCAGCAGCUCAGCUCCCGCUGCUCCCCACCCUGUGAGGUGACCUGCCCGCAGCCCAUUGCCAACACCUGGAACCAGCCCUGCAUCACCUCCUGCGGGGACUCCCGUGCCGUGGUCUACCCACCACCCGUGGUCAUCACCUUCCCGGGCCCCAUCCUCAGCUCCUGUCCUCAGGAGAGCAUCGUGGGCAGCUCAUCCCCACUGGGGCUGGACCGGCCCAGGGGCCUGCAGGGCUCCCUUAUCUAUGGGGGCUGCUUCUCCUCCUCUUCUUCCAGCCAGCUCUGGAGCCAGCGCUAUGGGGGCUGUGGGCCAUGCUAAGCAUGGCAGAAGCUGUGUCUGCCAGGAGAAGCAGUGGAGGAGCUGACAGCAAGACCUGAAUGUGCAACUGAGCUGAGAAGAAAGGCUCUCUGAAGGAAUAGUGAACUAUGAGAGCUUCUUAGCACUCAUGGGAACUGCUCUUCUGCUUGUCUUCUUUAUGCUCUGUUUGCUUUUAAUGUCAGUUUUCUCACAAUGUAUCUUUUCCACUCUUGGAAAUCCAAUUAUUGAUCAUGAAAAUCUGUUUCUCACUGUUAGAGCACAAAAACACUUCCAUCACUGGAAACUGGUCCAUGUAUGCUUUCAGUUGCUUGGGACCAUGGUACCAUUUCUUUGGUAGUUUUAUACUUUGAUUUCUUUAUGUCUAAUAAGAAUCUUAUCAACUUAUACUAUGAUUUGUCCUGUCCAUUUGAAACUUGAACCAAGACAGAAAAGAAAUGUGAUGAAAAUAAGUCAGUUUGAUACAGAUUAUUAGGUUGGCCCUUUCAAAAUCUGUCUUGUGUUUUUCCCUUACUUUGCUGAAAAUCUACACUUCUUGGUCCUAAUAAACACUUAUGAUUGCAUCCAAAGAACA